ensembl:lncRNA
AGCUGAACCUCGGCUGGCUGCAGGCGUAGCCUGAAACUACGUCACGUGAGCCCAAUGCCGCCCCUCCCCAGCGGGCUCAGCCCCUCGGCCCCGCCCUCUCUCUUCAAGUGGCUUGGGAGCGCGCGCAUGCGCGCUUCUGGGAACCGUCCGGGGAUUCGGGUCGAACGUCAGAGGCGCGGGCCGGGCGUGCGCGGGCUCGGCGGAGGGCGGGAAGGCUGAAGGGCGGUGACAGGUCGCACCGCCUCGCGAGGGCCGGAACGCCCAUCUCUGCAGAGGUUUUUGUACGGACAUGAGUUUUCAACUCAUUUAGGUAAAUACCAAGGGGCAUGAUUGCUGGAUUAUAUGUUCUGUCUGCUUUUGCCUCAUAUAUUUUGACACUGUUGCUAGAUGGAUACACAAUAAGGAUUUUUAUGUUUUCUUGGAUAAUUAACACCUUUAUCGCUCUUUCCAGUCUACUGGUGAACCCAUCAAAGGUAUUUGUGUUUCUGUUACAGUUGUUUUUUAAAAAAAUUUCUAUCAUUUUUAAAAUUCUUUCUUGGAGAUUUUUUUUCUCUCUCUCUCUGCUUACAUUACCCAUUUGUUCUUACAUGUUGUCUACUUUUUCCAUUAGUGCUCUAAACAUAUUAAUUAUAAUUAUUUUAAAUUUACUUUCUGAUAAUUCUAAAAUCACUGUUAUAUUUAAGUCUGGUUCCUAUGCUUGCUUUAUCUUUACAGACUGUGUUUUUUCUUGCCUUUCUGCAUUCCUUGCAAUUUUUUGUUGAAAGUCAGGUAUAAUGUAUUGGGUAAUAGGAACUGAGGUAAUUAGGUUUUAGUUUGAGUUUUUAUGUUAAUCAAUUAGGAGUUGGGGUGUUUAAUGUUUGCUGUAGCUGUAGGUGCCAGAUGCUUUAGUUCAGUAUCUUUGGUUUUGUCUCCUUUGCUGUCUUUGCGUUUCCCUAUCAACUUCUUAAAUGGUCUGGGUUUCUCAGCUCUCUCACUGUAAUCUAUUGCUAUUAUACUGGAGCACUGUUGAUGCAGUGGCAUGGUGUUAGGGAAGGGAAAUGUUCUAUAAUUGAUGAUUAAAUUUCAGAUUUUUAUUUGAGUUCCUGGGCUGCAAUCUUCAGAAUUAUUUGUUAGCUUUUUUUCUCCCUUUAGGUGAGAUAAGAAGGCUAGAAAGGACUAGCACCGGCUAAUAGUCCCUUCCUAGGUCAAGAAUGGUUCUGGAAAGGUAGUUUCCCUUGUAGGGCAGGCAUUUGUUAUAAAGAAUAUUCUGAAUCUAUUUCAAAGUGGUUGCUUCCUGCUCCUCCUUCAGGAAACAGGAAGCAGAAAUUCUCUGAUCUACACUGUCAGAAAGUGGUGGGGUUCCUGAAGGCAAAACCCAUGAAAGUGUAGCCUUUGCCACCCAUUUGUCCCCCAGGAAUUUUCAACUUUCAAACUAGCCCACACACAGUCGCAAGCAAUUCACCAAAACCACAAUUUAAGUUUUCCUACCUAAUUGGCUCCAAUGGCUGCUGCUUCAGGAAAUCUAAGUUCUGCUCUGAUUCUCUGUAUUCACCUAUUGCUCCAGAUUUGGUGCUGGCAGGCUGCCCUGGGACCUCAAAUCUCUUGGUCUAAGAUAAAUCAUUGCUUUUCUGUUUGUUCAAUGUUUUGUUGUUGUUGAAAGGAGUGCCAUUUUCAAGCUCUGUACAUCUCAGAGCUCAAUAUUAGACAUUUGUGUUGGAAUUUCUUUCUUGGCUUGGAGUCAAGUGUCAGGACUGAUAUUCAGAGCCCAAACAUCACCAAGAAGCCGUACAAGUAGAAGUAUUGACCCUCAAGGUCAUUUUAGUAUUGAUUUUGUUAUGACAUAAUCACAUUAUUUUCUCUUUAUCCAUUGAGAACAAAUAGCAUGCAAUCUGUCACAGUCACUGAUUUGGCUAACUUGACUUCCAUGCCCAGCCUUAUUUUCUCUUGCCUGCCUCUAACCUAGAGACUGGAAAACCUAAAUAUGCAAGUUUCCAGCCAACCCUGAAGCCACAGCGGCCACAUGACUAUUUUUCUUUUUUUGCAAUUGUGAUCUAAACAUAAGUUUACAGGGAAGUUUCUAGAAAAGCUUUUGCUUUUUUGAGAAAAGGGGACAAAUUUGGCUGAUGUUGUAUCUUCUUUUGUAAUGCCUGCCUUGGUUAUGGAUGUGACACCUAAAGUUAGGGAAACCUUGAGGCUGUGGUUAAGAGAAUCGCAAGCCAUCCUUCCACCUCACCCUCUCGAGUAGCUGGGACUACAGGUGUUCGUCACCACACCCAACUAAUUUUGUAUUUUUCUGUAGAGCCGGGAUUUCACCAUGUUGCCCAAGAUAGUCUCGAACUCCUGAUCUCAAACGAUCUGCCCACUUUGGCCUCCCAAAGUGCUGGGAUUACAGGCAUGAGCCAUUGUGUCCAGCCACCACCAGACUUAUGUGAGAAAAAUAAACCUCUGUUUGAUUAGGUAUUGCUAAAGUGGCUUUUCAAUAACCUGCAGUCAUAUGCAUUUCUGAUAGAGCACCAAACCUAUAUGGAAUCUGAGGUACAAAGCAAACAACCAGACUAAUAGAUAACAACUAUGAAGAGCAGGCGUCAACCUGGCUACAAUGAGUCAUGUUGAGGCCCACCCAUUCAAAGAAUUAAAGCAAAGAUCAGUUUCAACAUUGUUGAAAUUCCAAGUACUAGAGUUUUGCUGGUUGCCAUUUGUUAUGCACAUAUGUCACAUGAAAUGUGGAGGGGAUGUUGUCUCUGUAAACUCAAAGUGCCAGUUUCAUUCCUGUAAUCCCAGUGGGAGGCCAAGUUAAGAAGACUGCUUGAGGCCAGGAGUUUGAGCCAUGCCUAGACAACAUAGUGAGACUUCCCUCUGCACCCCCCACCGCUCUAUAAGAAGUUAGAAAAUUAGCCUGGCAUGGUAGUGCAUGCCUAUAGUCUCAGUUACUUAGGAGGCUGAGGUGGGAGGAUCACUCCAGGUGGGGAGUUUGAGGCUACAGUGAGCUAUGAUCAGGCCACUGCACCCCAGCUUGGGCAACAAAGUAAGACCCUGUCUCUAAAAAAAGUUUAAGAAAGGAAAAAGAAAAAGAAAAAGCAUUAAACCAAGGCAUCAGUGACCAGUAACAUGAGAAAAUGGCAAUUUUCAAGGAGGUGGGAGCCUUAGUAGUUUCCCUGAGCUGCACAGAUGGAUCUGAGAAAUAAAAGUAAAAUUCUAAGCCUUCAUCUGAAUGAACAGACCCCCUCUUGGCCAGGAGAACUGCAGAGAAACCUUGAAAGCUGAAUUCAUGGCCAUGACAGGAUGAGAGAUUGGACACGCCUCAUUGUACUCCCUCCCUCACUAACAGUCAUAGGUUUUAUUUCCUAAGGGCUAAACAGAAACCAGCCCUUUCGAAAGACUACUAGAUUAUUGUCCCAGGUACAGAACAAAGACAAGAUGAGAUUAAUCAUUUAUUUACCUCUCCACAAGAAAUUUGCUUUCUCCAUGCCCUUUUUCUUCAAAUGUUAACCUUGUUUUAUGUAAGUGUGGAUUUACUGGACACUAAAGUCUCACAAAUAUAUAAUUAUUUGUCUCACUGCCACUCCUCAUUUUUUAAGAAAAAUGUGUAAAUACUAAACCUCCUGUUAACUUCUUUGGGAAAAACACAGCCACAGAUGCUUCUGUGACUCACAUUUUUCCUGGGUGCACCCUCAAGCUGGCUCAAUAAACCUUGAUGUUUUGAGACUUAUGGCACAAUCACUCAUUUUGAUUAUCAGAUCCAACCAAAGGAUAGAUUUCUAAGGUUUUUAUGAAUUAGGAAUGAGGCUCUUCUUUAACCAGUCUUCUUGGACAAGUUACUUGAUCUCUCUGUGCUUCAGUUUCCUUAUCCAUAAAAUGGGGAUAAUAAAAGUGUGCAUCUCAUUGGAGGUGUUGUGAACAUCAAAUGAGAUAAUCUAUGUAAAUAACUCAACCAGUGUCUGCACACAUUAAAUGUCUUUUCAACGAUGUUAAAACUGAAUUAUGGACCUAGCCCUCUGCAUGUAUUGCCCUCAUCAUCCACAAACCCACACAAAAUUUUGCCUCUGAGAAGUAGCACUUAUGACUAGUUUGUUCUGAUAUCAAGGAGUGCUUUAAGAGAGCGCUUAAUACUGAAGCAGAGAAAUAUUUCUAAGC